CCACUGCCCACCUGGAGCAGGUGCCUGGCCUUCCUGGAGCGCUGGAGGCUGACCUUGUCCACCAUGUCUGCAGGUGCCUUCUCACCCGUCUUCUGGUGCAGGUUGGUCCCUGGAGGCCCCCAUCAGGAGACAGAGGGCCAUGGGAGAGGUUCGCAUCUCUGGCAGAAGCUGGGCCCUCCCCAGUGGUGACCCCCAGAGGUGGCCCCUCUUCCAGGAGCACCCUCCCUCCCCUGGCUCCCUCAGCUGAGAGACUGAAGGGUCCCCAUUGUUGCAGGCCUGGGAGCCCCCACAUCCAAGUCUCCUCCAUGAGUGGUCCCUUCAUUUGCACAUCUGGGGUGACCCCCGUUUUCAGCUGGGGUCUUCUGGGCUGUACCUAGGGUUGCAUGGCAGUCAAGUUUCCUGCCAGGCCUGAGCUUGCUCAGCUUGGGGUGUGUCCUCAGCACUCUCCCUUUCUGUUGUCUUUGGUCAGAAAGCGGCCAAUCAGCGGCCAGCAGACUCUCUCAGGUUCACUGCAGGCCUGAAGAUCCUAGAUUGGGCUUUCUGUUCUCGUGCCAGCUCAGGGGUGGGGGCUCGGCUCAGGGUGGCUCUGGGCACUCCCUGCCUUGGGGAGGAGAAGGGGGAAGAUCAGUACCCCCGGGCAGCUGUGCCCGGCCUUGUGGGCAGCUGGCUGCAGCUCCAGCAGUUCCUCCUUCAGGACUGCUCUGCCUGCCCCCCUCUCCCCUUCCCACUUUACUCAGUUUGCAGCUUUCUGCCAGGAUGCCCCAAAGGUGUCUAAUAGUACCUUCUGCUAUGCAGCAAAUAGGCACAGAGCACUUGUGAUGCGCCAGCUCCUGCUCCAAGCAAGGAAGAGCUGGCAGUGAGCAAGGCAGGCCGUAUUCUCGCCCUUUGGAGCUUGGAGUACAGGGGAAGCCAUGCGCAACGAGCAAGGAGACGCACCGUUCUGAUUGGUCGGUUAGUGGUGCAUGCUUGCAGGAAUGCGGUGGGUGAGGCGUGUGAGCAGUUUCUGGAGGGUGCUCAUGCAGGACGUAUGGAGAAGGUGGCCUGUGAGCCGAGACCGGGAGAGGGCCUGACAGAGAACGGUGUACCAGGCAGGGCAUGCAAGGGCAGAGCCUUGAGGUGGGAGCUAUGGCUGCAUCCCAGGAAGAGUGGCCAGAGUUUGCCCCUUACAGAGUUUCGUCGGGAGACCGGAGAGCAGAGGAGAGACGUUUGCAUCUCUCUCUCCUUGUGGACAAGGAGGACAGUGAUGGGCUCUGAGGUGAGGGAGGCAACAGAACAAACCUACUGAGACCUUGAAGGCUGUGUGGGUGGCUUUUGAAUCUGUUCUCCAUGAAACAGGUGUCUUUGAAGGACCCCUCUGGCCAUUGUGGAGAGAAGGAGAGGUAAGGGCAGGAAGAGGCAGCCAGAAUGGGACCACUUAGUGACCAGGAGAUCACCACCAGCACACCUGACAUGCCAGGUACUGGCUGCUGUUGUUCUUGGAAUUGACAUCACCACCCUGUCAGCAGUGCGACUGUUGGACCUUAUGUUUUCGGUUUAGGAUUCACAUUCUUUUCCAGGAAAUGGAGAUGGAGGCUGGGAGCACUUACAUGCGUAAGGUAUAAAACUCUUACAGGAAGGGAGGACAUGGGUGUCACUCUCAUUUCAAGGAUGAAGAAAUUGAGGCACAGUUCCUUAACUGAGGUUGUAACUUGCUCAACUGCUUCUAAGUAUUCAGUCCUAUCAGAAAGGACCUCGAAUCCAGGACGCAACACAGAGGUGCAUUUGUGUUUUCUUCUCGCUAAUGUAACGCCAAGAUCCUUUUCCUCCUGGCCCAGUGAGAUUCCAGGCUCCAAUUUUUGGUGGAGGGAAAUCCAAGGCCCACUCCUUUAACCACUACAGGUUCAUAAUUCUUUCUCAUUGGCUCUGCCAAUGAGGGGCAAGUCCACCUUACUGUGCCCCAUUCCUCACAUGGCAUAAUGGGAUUGAGUAAAUUCUACAACAAUGGCUCUCAUUUACUCCAUAUUUCCUGGGGGGUCAGACACUUUGCCAAGCAUUUUAUACGUACAAUAAUCCCACAAUACCCUUACCUGGUUAACAUUAUUCUGUGUGUUAUGGGUGGGGAAAUGGAGGCAUAGAGAGGUCAGGUUGUUUGUCCAAGGUCAUAUCCCUAGUGAAGGGCACAACAAAGACUUGAAUCUUGGACCUGAUGACUUUAAUCCUGUGCUCUUUCCAUGAACGUGUUCUGUUAUUCUACUGCGUGUCCAGCUUAGUCAGAACAUUCAUGCAUGGACUAAUCAAUUCACUAGUUAAUUAGAUGUAUAGUGCUGAUUUGGGGGAGUAGACUAGGGCAGGGAGGGGCUGCUAUGCAAGGUGAAGUGGGUUGGGCUGUCUCCUGGUUGAGUCUGACUACUCCACUUCCAAUCUGGCUCCCUCCUAAUGUGCCUGGUAAAGUAGCAAAAGAUAGUUCAAGUACCUGGGUCCUUCCACCCAAGUGGAGAACCUGGAUGGAGUUCUGGGCUCUUGGCUUUAGGCUGGCCCAGCAUUGGCUGUUGUGGCCAUUUGGGGAGUGAACCAUGCAAUGGCAGAUCUCUCUCUCUCCUGCUCUCUCUAUAACUCUGCCUUUCAAGUCAAUCAAUCAAUCAAUCUUAAAAAAGAAACAACAGGGCAGGGAAAGAAUGAUUGGAAUCAGAUCAGUCUGGGAGGAACUUGGGGUUCCUGGGCUUCCUGGCGAUGUGGUCCUAGGCAGAGGUGUUUGGCAGGAAGAGGCCCUGUAGAGAUGCUGACACCUGAAUCCCUGAAACCUGUGUGUAUCUUAACUCAUGUGGCAAAAAGGAUUUUAUGGGUUUUGUGGGGAGCAACCCGGACUGGACUGAGUUACUGGAAUUAAGACUUAUUCUAUGCAUCUGCUUUCCCACAAUAUGGCGCUGAGAAGGGAGAAACAGCUUCUGCUCAGCUGCCUCCAGUUCAACCAAUAAACUGUAGGACCUGCUCCUGAUUGGAGGAGAGCAGCGUACUCGGCGUGUGGGUAGCAGAGUUGGGAUUGGUGGAAGAGGACUAUAAAGGAGGAGAGAGACAACAUGCACCAGGAACAUCUAAGAGGAACAUCUAAAGGGGAACAUCUAUCUGAAGGAACACCUGUGCAGCCCCCGAGAGAGCCGGCCGGCGGUGUGCCGCUCCCCCGCGGAAGUGGGGAAUGUGGCAGGGGGAACCGCCCUUCCACGGAGGUGGAAGGGUCGGUAGCCAACCCGGGAAGAACCAGCAGCAAACCCGGGAAGGGCCGAGCAGACAAAAGAACAGCGCAGGGUCCUGUGUCGUUCCUCCACGAAGAGGGGGAGCGACAUAAUGGUGCCGUGACUCGGAUAUGAAGCCUAGGCAGGGUUUAGUGUCGGAUAUGAAGCCUAGGCAGGGUUUAGUGUCGUUCCUCCAUGAAGAGGGGGAGCGACAGGUUUGAUUAAGAUAAGCAAACUUGACAUGAGCUUGUCCUGAUGGGCCCGAUCUCAUCACAUGGGUCCCUAAAAGCAGAGACCCUUUCCUGGUCGUGGUCGGAGGGAGGGAUGCUAUGAAAGGAGGACCAGAGAUGUUGCAGCAUGGCAGCGUCUCACCUGGCCAUUGCUGCCUCUGCAGGUGGAGGAGGAGGAGCCAGUGAAUGCAGAUGGCCCCUGGGGUCUGUAGAAUACAAGGAAGCAGAUGAUAUCUUAGAGCUUCCCAAACAGAGCACAGCCCAGCUGAUGCCUUGCAGUUAGCCCUGGUGAGACUCACGUUGGAUUUCUCAUCUACAAAAGCAAGCUUACAACUUUAAGUUGGUGUGAGCUACUGACUGUGUGGAAAUUUCUAUGACCACAAUAGAAACACUGAUACGUUUACUUCAGACCUUGGGACUCUGUUCACCCCUGAGCAAAAUGGGGGCCACAAACCUCUUUCUCCCUCUCUGGGUGGUUGUAAGAAUCAUGUGAGACUGGUAUUAUCAGUUUCUGACAUGGAGGCUGGCACACAAUAGAUAUCUGGGCACUAUCAGCUAAACUGGAGUUUGACAAGGAGCUGCUGGGACAUUCUCUUUGAACUCAGGCUGCAACCGACAGGUGCCCACUGGUGUGAAGACGGCAAGGCUUGGAGGUGUGCAAGACACAGUGGACUAGGCCGGUCGUGGAAGGCUCCACAGAGGGGCCUGGAGAUAGCAGUUGGAGGGACAUCUUGGGAGAAUGAUUUUGUGACUUGUAAGACAUUAGGUCUGUCUCAAAUCCAAGUAUCUGGGUUACGUCCCACGCAGGUGGCGGGGGUGGGGGACAUUAAAUAGACUUGAGGUCAAGGUGUGGUCUACUGGAGCAGGGGUUUGCAGUCAGGAAACCCUGACUCUGGACCCUCGCUGGGCUGUUUCCUGCCAUUGUGUUGUCUCUUCCAGAUCUGUUCCUCCCCUAGAGCUCACUCAGUUGGGGGAAGGUAAGCGCUGAGAGAAGGUGGUUCUUCCCAUCAGCGCUCGCUUGCCCCAGGACCUGAGGGAAGUGACGUUCUCCCCCUUGUCAGCAAAAUACAGAUGCUGCUCUGGGCAGCCUCUCAGGUACCCUGUAGCUCCAAGGGUCUGCAGGCCUGCGUGAUUCCAAGGCAGGGAGAACCCACAAAACAAUAAGCUGAAGGACGGAUGUCACCACUUCCGAACAGUAAGGGCUACCCUUUACUUGCUAAAUGCCAGGCUCUGCUCUCACAGUCACUCAUUCAUUAUUUGCAGGCACAGAGAAGUUAGGUUUCCAGCCUUGAGUCACUCAGCAUGACUGUGGCGUGUGGCCUGGCUGGGCUUCACCCCCAGCAGCUGUCCUCUGUAGGCUGUGCUAAUAACAGAGAGCCUUGGGUUAUUUCCAUUUUGUUUCCUCCAUUGUUGGGGAGUUAUCACGCAUCACCACCAAGGGCUGGUCAUGUCUACUUUGCAUCCAUCUCCUCUUGGCUUGAACUCUGUUUCUUACUAUCAUCCAAGUUACACUUGGAUGUUUUCUGGAAAUUGAGGGCUGAGUUGGAAGAACGUUUUGAGAACUUAAUACUCAAGUCUUCAUGUUCUUGGAUGAUUUGUGAGUCCUACCUUCUAAUUGAUUAUAAUCACUGUUGAGAUUUAGUGAACACUUGCUGCACAUCGUGUCCAUUCCAAAGACUUCAAGGGUGUUGACACUUCCAACCCUUGUGCUGUCCAUAUGUGAUGAGGCAGGUCCUCUUCUCAGCCGCCUUUUGCAGAUGAGGACAUGGAAGCCCUAGGCAUUGGCGAGAAUAAUGUGCUCCUGUCACACAGAGACUGUGAGACUUUGCUGGGAUUUAAACGCAGGACGUCUGCCCACAGGCACUGACUUCCCUUGACUGCCUGUCUCAAGGUAGCCUGCUCCGGGAAGUACUGUGGAAUGUUUCUAGGAGCUUGGUACUAAACGUGCUCCGUGGUCAAAUGUUUAUAAAAGUAGAGGAAUAUGAAUUGAAACAAGUUACUCUAUGUACAGAUUCUUUAAAAACCAAGUGGUUGUUAAGACUUUCGAGAGUUAGACGCCAGACACACUUGUUAAACUCAUUUGACCAUGGAUACUCUUUACUUUUGGUGGACUGUUUCAAAGAACAUACUUUGUGAAAAUCAGCCCCAGGAUCAUUCCAGCUGGGAAGGCUUUGGAGGUGAUGUGGAAGAAUCCUAGCUCCAGAUUCUCUCUAGCCUUCCCUCCCCAUUCCAGUUUUCCUUCAAAUAUCCCACCAUCACCUGACCAGAGAUUUGGCUGACCUUGCUGUGCACUGGGCUUGUUGACAGGAAAUCAAGGCUGUAUACUGAGUUUCUCGGAACUUCUAAUGCACUAAUUUCCCCUUUAAAUCAUCUUUUCUAACAUAGAGGAUUUCUAAUAAAGCCAAAUCACUGUUCCUAACUGAUGAAUAAUUUUGGUAAAUCUAAUUUCUAUAUAUCAUAAACUUUUAAAAAGAGGCACAUUUGAAAUUUCUUUAUUGGAUGGGAAGAAAAUGUUGGAUAAGGAGAGAAGGACGGAAGAGGGUGCGGAAGCCAGGGAUAGAAGCUGUUGGUUUUCCCCAAAGGUUGCACAAAAUGGUAUGACUUCUGCUUUUGCUGUGCUCUGAAUUGCACUUGGGGAGCCCACUAGCUUACUUGAGAGGUUGGGGUGCAAGGCAGUCUUGUUGAAUAUGAAAGUCUUGGGUGUUUAACUUGCUGGCUGGCUUUUCCUGUUCACAGCAACCACAAACAGCGUUCACUUUGGCAUGCAAGGUUUUUCUCAUUUGGUUAAUUUCCAUGUUCAGUUCUGAGUACCAAGCACAUACUAUGGAUUCGCUGUGAGUCUGGCUCUGUGGGUUUACUAAUCUUCUUAAUCUAUACAAGCUGGUGUGGAUUUAUUCAUUCAUUCCCAGGCCCUGGAGAUACAGAGAUGACUGAAGCAUGGUGUCGGCACUGGAAGAGAACUCAGUUGAGUAGAGAUGAUUAAGCCAAAUAGGCAGCAGAUCAGAACUUCCGGCAGAGCUUAAGGAUCAACAAAGAUGGACAAAGCUGAGUGACCAUAGCCAUGUGGCAAGCUUGGCAUUCUGGAGGACUUUCUUGAUAGAAGGGGCAAUUGAAUUGGACUUGGAAAGAUGGGUAGGGCGAUACUGAGUGAUACAGAGAAGUUAGUGGAAAAUACUUUCUGGGAGAGGGAACUGCGUCAGCCAGGAGAAGGCUUAGGAACACUAAGAGGGUACUACUAGCUUGUUACAAGAGGCAAAGGGACACUAGAUCUCGGUUAUUUUGCUAUUCUAUGACAAUGGGUGCCACAGGUCCUGUGGUCCCUUAACAUCUGGCAAUGAUGGAAAUCUAGCAGAGUUUCUCUAGGGAUCAGCUAAGUGAUUUAACACUAGAAACCUCGUUUUUAUUAUCAACAGAAUAUGGGUAAGUGUUUAUCUUGCUAUGUUAAGGUAAGGAUUAAGAGUGAGUGAUGUAUGUAAAGUUUGGGAACCAAGGAUAACAACUGACAUGCUCAGCGACGCUCGUUGUUAUUAUUAUUACUUUUCUGAUGACUACCACCGCUCUGGAAUGUUCGGGGAUUUCGUCAAACAGCUUGGCCAUCAGACCUCUAAGGGUAGACACGCUCAAUUAUUUCUUCAUCUUCCGCACUUACGAUUUCUGAGCUGGUAGCUUGCAGUAAAUGCCUUUCAGAUGACUUGAAUGAUUGAGUGGAUAAACAUGAGCAAAACAUGCCUUCUUGCUAUGAAACAACAUCCCAGGGAGGCUGAAGAUAGCAGCCCGGCCUUGGUGGGAAGCCCUCCUCGCCACUGGAUCAACCCUUUAUCUUCAUGUGCAUCCUCUGCGAGUUCCUCUCGGGUAAAGAACAUUUGACCCCUGUUUAGAAAGAUGGCCUUUCACAAUCUCCCAGUUCCCUAGAUGGGACUUGCUGAGCUGACAGAAUGAAGACAAGAACUAACUAUUUUUAGGAUGAACUAGAAAGAUUAGAACUUUGCUCUCUGCUCAAAUAUCAAACCUGCCAUCUGUAGGAAUCCAGAGAGGAAUGGUUGGGGAAUUGGAUGCAAAGAGGAAAAUCGAGGCAUUGAGAAAUAAAAUAUAUCAAUCAAAGCCACACAGAGAGGAUGAAGUCCAGCUGGAAUUCCAACCCUGGUGUGUCUGUCUUCAAGACUCCAGCCGCUGUGAGAAUGAAAACAAUGCAACAACACAGUACAGGGGGAAGAGAACAGCCUCAGCUUGCUGACUGAAGAAUGCAGUCCUUCAAGUCGCAGCUGAUGUGUUGAGUGUGCCAUUUUGCCGGGACGGCGGCAGAUUUGUAGAGGAGGAAGUCAAGGAUUCUGUCUCUGAGGAGCUCACAGCCUCGUGAGGGAGGUGUAAGGACUCUGUUAUCUUUCACCUGUGCAUCUUCUUCAUUACCUUCUUGGGGUCUGCCCUUCCCCACUGCAUGCACGUUGGGGGGUUUGCCAGCCAAGGUGCCUGUACUCCUCCAGCCAAGGGGUUGGUGCUGCCCAUGUUGGAAAACCAGACUCUGGGAAAGUAAGGUCGUGACUUGAGGUCUGAAAAUGGCUGGCACUGACUGCUCCAGCUGCCCAUUUGUUUCUGCUUUUGCUUCUUUCUGAGAGCUUCCUUGUGGCAGAUCCCAUAUCUUGGCUCACUCAGCACACAUUGUAAGUUGUGCUUCUCUAUUCUAGAAAGUGACAGUCUCAAAGCUCUUUCCCAGACUUCCUUGAAGAGGUGGCCAUUGGGCAUAACCAGUGAAAGGCAAAUAACUUCUUGGAGCUUGUGUUCUACGAAAGUGAAGAAAAUAAAGUGAUUAAUUCAAACUGUGACAGCUUCAUGAAAGGAGUGACUUUGAGCUGAGUUUUGAAGGAUUAGCAGACUUUUGGUCAAUGCAGCAGGCAAUGAGAAGAGCAUUUCCAGCUGACACAAGAAGAGAAGAUCCUGGAGGCAUGAGCAGGUAAAAAAAGCUUCCUGGUCCCUUCUGUAGAGAUCUGACGUGAACAUGAAAGCCGUUUGUGUCCGAGGCUCCUCGUGUGUCUCCAGCUCACAUCCUAGAGAGCGUGCAUCACUUGGGAUGGGGUUGGCUCUGCUGUGAUAACAGAUUAGCCCUGGAACUGUCCCAUCUUUGCAUAGUUACACAAAGUGUCACCCAGAACAUGUGACUUCAGAGUUCCCUGUGGCAAGAGAAGAUAUAGGGACAAAGGAGGCCCCAGCUCCGUGACUUUCUGGACUCUUAUCUUUACUGUGCAUUCAGCAGAAGCAGCCACAUGGUCCUCACCCAACUGUAAGUGAAGUUUGGAAGUGAAACACACAGAGGAUUCGAUAAGUGUGAACUCGCUGCUGGAGUCUGGGGGAUUUCAGCGGUCCCCUUCAUCUCUGCUGGGCAAAUCGCUCUUGCCACGGUCACUUCCUUGGCCCCUUUCCGGCGAUGGAUUGGCUGCCCUGCACACAGGUGCCUUUUCCUGCUUCCAUGAGCUGUGUCAUGGGCAGAAGAGACAGUGGACUCCCUGAUGUGGGCAGGGGCAUUUCCAUUUGAUGAUUAAAUGACUUAAUGGAACCACUUGAGUGUGGUGUGUGAGGAUCAGAAAUGGAGAGUGGUAGUGGGGCACUGAAGGGCGUGAUGGGAUUUGCAGUUUGCUUGGGCGACCCCAGGACUGGGCUGAACCUGAUGGAGGGGAGACACAGGACAGAUGGAAAGUGGAGAGAUGGGUCAUGCUACUUCUGCUAUUGUCUUAAGAGGACGCAGUACAGGAGCAAAAGGAGUCAGAGCAAAAUCUGGCACUGAACCUGGGAGAGACGAAGCAGGCGGGAGUCGGGCUGGCGGGGGAGGGCCCAUGGAGCACCUGCCGUGGGACUGUGUGGGAAGUGGAUGAGGUGCUGUCUCCGGGAAGCCAAGCCCAGACCCUGCACUUGCUGGGAGUCCCUGCUCAACACGCUCCUGCAGGGCCCUGCUGGAACGCUCCAGGGGAGGGAAGCUCACCACAUUCCCA